rnacentral:rRNA from 1 species
AACGUAGGUGGCAAGCGUUAUCCGGAUUUACUGGGCGUAAAGCGUAUGCAGGCGGAUCGUUAAGUCGGGGGUGAAAUCCCAAGGCUCAACCUCGGAACUGCCUUCGAUACUGGCGACCUUCGAGUCCGGGAGAGGUGAGUGGAACUCCGAGUGUAGAGGUGAAAUUCGUAGAUAUUCGGAAGAACACGAGUGGCGAAGGCGGCUCACUGGCCCGGUACUGACGCUGAGAUACGAAAGCGUGGGGAGCAAACAGG